GAUGAACGCUAGCUACAGGCUUAACACAUGCAAGUCGAGGGGAAACGAUAGAGAAAGCUCGCUUUUUCUAGGCGUCGACCGGCGCACGGGUGAGUAACGCGUAUCCAACCUGCCCACCACUUGGGGAUAACCUUGCGAAAGUAAGACUACUACCCAAUGAUAUCUCAAGAAGACAUCUGAAUGAGACUAAAGAUUUAUCGGUGAUGGAUGGGGAUGCGUCUGAUUAGCUUGUUGGCGGGGUAACGGCCCACCAAGGCGACGAUCAGUAGGGGUUCUGAGAGGAAGGUCCCCCACAUUGGAACUGAGACACGGUCCAAACUCCUACGGGAGGCAGCAGUGAGGAAUAUUGGUCAAUGGGCGAGAGCCUGAACCAGCCAAGUAGCGUGCAGGAUGACGGCCCUAUGGGUUGUAAACUGCUUUUAUAAGGGAAUAAAGUGAGUCUCGUGAGACUUUUUGCAUGUACCUUAUGAAUAAGGACCGGCUAAUUCCGUGCCAGCCGCCGCAGUAA
rnacentral:rRNA from 1 species